rnacentral:rRNA from 1 species
CGGCGGACGGGUGAGUAACACGUGGAUAACCUACCUAUAAGACUGGGAUAACUUCGGGAAACCGGAGCUAAUACCGGAUAAUAUAUUGAACCGCAUGGUUCAAUAGUGAAAGACGGUUUUGCUGUCACUUAUAGAUGGAUCCGCGCCGCAUUAGCUAGUUGGUAAGGUAACGGCUUACCAAGGCGACGAUGCGUAGCCGACCUGAGAGGGUGAUCGGCCACACUGGAACUGAGACGCGGUCCAG